GUGAGGACUCCUGUCCCGAGACUCGCUCCACGGAGUCCCCAUCAGGGGAGCUCAAUCCUGGGGACUCCUACCCGGGGAUCCGGGGAUCCUUCAUGGGCUGUCUUUUCCAAAAGGGGGUUCUUCCUUGGGGACUGCUUUUGUUCACUUUCCUGGGGGGGGGGGGGCUCCUUCCCGGGAAGUUCCCCAUUCUAGUGGCUUCUUUCCUCGGGGCGGGGUGGGGUGGUGGUGGUGGAGGGGAGGUCUCUUCUUUGCAAGACUUGAUAGUUCAACUCUCCUAGCCUCCCGUUUUUUUGCUAGUCCCUGAAUUUUAUGUAGACUCUGGAUCCUGCUUUGAGAGGUAGUGAAACAGCCUCUUUUUAAAGGAAUACCUGGAAACGGACACCCAAGAUUGUAUUUCAUAAGGAAGUGCGGUGCCCUGCAACACUUGCCUUAAGCUUAAACUGUCGCAGUCAACAAGCAACCGAGAUGGUUGACACAUUCUCCGGGAAUUCUUAAUUUAGGUGUGUGUGUGUGUGUGUGUGUGUGUGUGUGUGUGUGUGUGUGUGUGUGUAACCAAUCAAGUAAGUUGAAAGUGACCUGGUAGGUCACUCCUGCGCAGUAGGUUUAACCUCUGGCUCCAGCCUCUUGCUGCUGCUUUGCAGCAUCAGCCAACUCUUGAAAGAAGGGAGGGUCACAUAGAUUCUAGUUCAGCAUCCAGCUAGUCUAUCUGGGGCUCAGUGUAGACUUGCUUACUUACCAGGCAAAUAUUUGCUGCAGAUGAAAGGGACUCUUUCUUUACAGUCUUGUUCUCCUCCUUGGCUUCCCUAACUACUGAAAGAACAAACACUAGCAGCUGGCUAGCCAGUAGGGGCCGUCUCCUUUCUUUGAGGACUUGAGUCAGUACCUCCGGAACAAAUAAAGUAUUUGAACAACCCUUUGGACACCAUCAAGACGCUGUUGUUCAUAGGUUAUAAGUCAAAUCACUCUAAGCCCCUGUUUUUCUCGUCUUUCUUUGGUUCAUGACAUCUUAUUCCUUUUCCAUAUCAUGUACUUUAGAAUUUAAAAUGGGCUUUGCUGUUGAUGGUGCAUACCUUUAAUCCCAGUACUGGGGAGGCAGAGACAGCUCUGAGUUCAAGGUCAGCCAUGCUACAUAGUGAGACUGUCUCAAAAAUAAGCAAAUACAUACACAAAUAAAUAAUAGGCUUUAAACCAAGGGUUUAAAUUAAGUAUUUUUUUCCCCAUUGGAACUUUUCUUUGCUAUCUCAUCCACCUCUUCCUCUUUAGCCUCCUUAAACACUGUCUUGUAAAGAACUUCUACCUCAGGCUGAGGUAGGAGAAUGAGAAGUUUGGAAGUAGCCUGUCUUAUGUAUUAGCACAGUGUUUCAAAAGUGAAAAAUAAGAUUUUUUCUUAUUAAUAAGCUUUGAAGUAUAUUUUAUGAUUUUUUUUGUUUUGUUUUUUUUUCAUGAGAUAGGGUUUUACUUCAUAGCUCCAGCUGUCCUGGAACUCACUAUGUAGAUCAGGC
rnacentral:lncRNA from 1 species